rnacentral:rRNA from 1 species
AUUGAACGCUGGCGGCAGGCCUAACACAUGCAAGUCGAGCGGCAGCGGGACCUUCGGGUCGCCGGCGAGCGGCGGACGGGUGAGUAAUGCCUAGGAAUCUGCCUGGUAGUGGGGGAUAACGCGGGGAAACUCGCGCUAAUACCGCAUACGUCCUACGGGCGAAAGUGGGGGACCCCCGGGCCUGACGCUAACAGAUGACACGAGGUCGGUUUAGCUAGUUGGUGGGGUACAGGACCACCAAGGCGACGAUCCGUAACUGGUCUGAGAGGAUGAUCAGUCAAACUGGAACUGAGACACGGUCCAGACUCCUACGGGAGGCAGCAGGGGGGAAUAUUGGACAAUGGGCGAAAGCCUGAUCCAGCCAUGCCGCGUGUGUGAAGAAGGUCUUCGGAUUGUAAAGCACUUUAAGUUGGGAGGAAGGGCGCUCGGUGAAUCCCCAGGCGUCUUGACGUUACCGACAGAAUAAGCACCGGCUAACUUCGUGCCAGCAGCCGCCGUAACAC